GCCGGGAUGGUGAAAUUGGUAGACGCGCUAGAUUCAGGUUCUAGUGGGGGCAACUCUGUGCAGGUUCGAGUCCUGUUCCCGGCACCA
rnacentral:tRNA from 1 species